rnacentral:lncRNA from 1 species
CUCCUCGAGCUCCUCCUCCACCACCACCUCCUCCUCCCUCUCCUCACCCCCGCUGCUUCUGACGACGAUCUCCCGGCCGGUGCUGAUGACAAUCUCCCGGUCGUCGGCGCCGCGGCUGCUGCUGCUGCUACCACUAGCCGCCGUUUGUUCACUCAACAUGUGUCGCCGCCGUGGGUGAGGUCGUCGUCGCCGUCGCCGCCGCCGCCGCCGCUAGUGCUCAGCCACUAGCACACACGCGUAACCAUCGGCGUCUUGCUCUUCUUCCUCCUCUUCGCUUCUCCGAGCUGAGCUGUGGUGGUGAGUGGUGAGUAGGAUCGGAUGCCUAGCUUGGUUAAAUAGGCGGGAGAAGAGGGGGAGGUGGGCCCGGGCGUGUCAGUGUCGCUGAGCCAGUGCCCGCCAUUGGAGGGGCAGUUUGGGUAUUUCCGUUUCGAUCCCCAUUUCGUGUGCCUUUUGGGCGGCUUCGUCUCGCUUUCUGAUUUUGGAGGGGUCUGUGUGUGUGUGUUUAUUUUUGGGGGGUAAGGUUUAGAGGUUAGAGUGUGCAAAGUGCGCUGACUCACACAAUCAUAUAGUUUUAACAUUAACAAGCGCCGUAUGAUUAUUUUUUCCCUUUGAUUAGUAGUACAGGUUUGGAUUGGAUACGUCACCCAUUUUUUAGGGCAAAGAGCGUGAAGGUUCUAGCCUUCUCUCUUCCUACAUGUUUAGUUACGUACUUCCACUGUACGAUCAUGCGUCGCCGUAAAAUAUUUUAAAAUGGAUCGAUAAAUAUUACUCACUCCGUCCCAAUAAAAAUCAGGAAAUCAAUCUAUGUUGAUUUUUAUUAGGACGCUAAGUUACUUUUUAUCGAGACGGAGGGAUUAGUUGUUUUUUAAUGGACUAGAUUGAUGUUCUAAAUAGAUUAAUUAAUAUAAUACUCCAUUUAGGGGCGGGACAUACGAUAGAUUAUCUAAUUUUGUGAUGAUAAUCGACUAUACAAACGAAUGAAUUAAUUGUGAAAAAAUAGAUAAGUUGUUCUAAAAUAUUAUUCUAAACAGUUUAUAUAUAGAAAGUUUUUAAAAUACCAUGUUUCUAAACUUGUAAAACGUGUCUACGAUAAUCUAUAAUUUAUUGAGGAAAAGAACCAGCCUCAAACCAAUUGCUACAUGCUAUAGUGGUUUGGGUCAGGCGGUGAUGAGGACAUCCUCCACUAUUAUCCGCUGGCAGAGACGCUAAAGUCGGGCGGCGACCGUGUGAGCCUCUGAAUAAUCCCACCUUGCUUAGCUAAUCCCACCUUACUUAGCUUAGAAGGAGGAAGCCACCUUAAAAAGGAGAGCCACCCUUCCCCUACCGGACUAGUCUUUUAGGGAGAUUGGGCCUUUCCCUGAGUGGGUGUGCUAAAGAACUGUUGGGGUCCGGACAACCUUAAGUUAUUGGGCCUCGGCCGACCCCACCUGGGCCGGAUUGUUAUCAGGCGGCCGCAAUGACCUUACACAAAAUAUAUGGUUAAAUGAAUAUAACAUCAUUGGCUUCGACAUAAAUGGUACUCCGUUUCAGGUCAUAAGAUGUCUCCGUUUCAGGUUAUAAGAUGUUUUGACUUUAGUUAAAAUUAAAUUGCUCUAAGUUUGGCUAAGUUUAUAAAAAAUAAUAUUUUUUACAAAGAUAAAUUUAUUAUAAAAAUAUAUUUAAUUAUUAAUUUAAUAAAACUAAUUUGGUAAUAUAAAUAUUACUAUAUUUACCUAUAAGGGCCCCUUUGAAUCGCAGGGUAGAAAAAACGGAGGAAUAGAAAAAACGCAGGAUUCUGAUAGGAAUUGAAGUGUAAAACAGAGGAUUGCAAAACACAGGAAAAACACAGGAAUGGUCGUUUGAUUGGAGCGCAGGAAAAACGCAGGAAUCGGAUGAGAAAGAUAGACUCAAAGGAAAUUUUCCAAGAGGUUGGAGCUCUUGCUAAAUUUUCUUCAAAAUCCACAUGCAAUGUGCCAUUCCAUAGGAAUUUCAUAGGAUUUGGAAAGUUUCAAUCCUUUGAAUCAAAGGGCCAAAUAGAAAAAUUUCCUAUAGGAUUUGAAUCCUAUGAAAUUCCUACAUAAAUCCUUUAAUUCAAAGGGGCCCUAAACCUAGUUAAACUUAAAGCUGUUUAACUUUGAUUAAAAUUAAAACAUCUUAUAACCUGAAAGCCACGGAGUACUACUCAUAUGAUGUCAGCGACUCAGCGUAUCAAAUAUACACAUAUAUACCCACCCCUACCGAACGAACUACAAGUCGGUAUAACCGGCGAACCUUCGAGUGAUUCUGCCGCCGCAUGCAAACGAAGGGCCUGUUUAGAUGGGAUUAAAACUUUUAAGUCCCUAUCACAUCGGAUGUUUGAAUAUUAAUUAUAAAUAUUAAACGUAUACUAUUAAUAAAACCCAUCCAUAAUCUUGGACUAAUUCGCGAGACGAAUCUAUUGAGCCUAACUAAUCUAUGAUUAGCCUAUAUGAUGCUACAGUAAACAUUCUCUAAUUAUGGAUUAAUUAGGCUUAAAAAAUUUGUCUCGUGAAUUAGCUUUCAUUUAUAUAAUUAGUUUUGUAAGUAGUCUAUAUUUAAUACUCUAAAUUAGUGUAUAAAGACAGGGACUAAAGUUAAAUCUCUGGAUCCAAACACCACCGAAGUCUCGUGCACUCCUGUCCCGAGAGAGUUCAGUCAAACGCAUUCCCAGCGGAUAAAAUAAAUGAAGAUUUGGUGAUUAGGCCGUGUCAACUUCACCCCCCCCCCCCACCCCCACCAAAAAAAAAGAAGAUUUACGAUUCAAAUGUCAUCACCGAAUUGUUUACUGGUUACUUCGCGAGCAGGGAGGCGGUGAGUUACCUACGUAGUACGUGUGUGCUGGUUUAGAGCAACGUUGACAGCGACGUUUUAUUAAUUCUUACACACACGUAAGAGGUACUACUACCACGUCUCAUAAUAAUUCUUACACUGUUUGACCACUCGUUUUAUUUAAGAAAAUUUAGAAUUAUUAUUUAUUAUUUAUUGACUUACUUUAUUAUCCAAAGUAUUUUAAGCAUAAUUUUUUAUUUUUUUAUAUUUGCAUAAAUGUUUUUGAAUAAGAUAAGUGAUCAAACAGUGCAAACAAAAACUCAAAAUUUCUCAUAUUACUCCAAUUUAACAGAAGGAGUAGUAAUUAUCAUCGUUUGCAUGGAGGCGAUGGGUAAUCAAAAGACGUGGUCGGCCGCGGUUAACCCCGUCUCGCUGUCACGGAGUUAAAGCGGGUGUGUGUUAGCGAAAGGGGGUUAGGAUUAUUUUGAGGCCGUUGCGAAUUAGCGGCGGAGCCGUGUGGGGCCCAGCCCGCUUGCAUUAUCCUACUACUCUAUUAUACACCGGGUUAGGCGCAGACAAGGUGGGCCCGGGGGUGUCUCCGCGGGUGGGCCCCACGGGUGGAGAUCGACGGCGGAGAUGCGUUUGGUGUGGUGCCUGUCAGAGAUCAGAACGAACAAACCCGUCAGGUGAGGCGUUGGCCGUUGGCCCGACUAGAUAGAUAGGGGGUGUGCCACUAUGGGGGUGUUUGGGAGAGAGGGGCUAAACUUUAGCCCCUCUCUCAAAACCAUAAGUCUCUAGGAGAGGGACUUAUGGUUUUGAGAGAGGGGCUAAAGUUUAGCCCCUCUCUCCCAAACACCCCCUAUAUCUACCAGUAUGCCGGUAUGGUCGUCUACUCGUCUCAUGUUUCAUGCUGCGAGCCUGCAAAAAUAGUAGUGGCCUUUUUUACUAGCACGUUUCUACAUCGACGACACACCACGUGGCCAUGCCUGCAACAGUGCUUAGAUGGAGAUUAGCCAUGAUCAUUGUUACUAUGGUGUUCAAGUGAAUAGGGGCAGGGGUGAAAACGAGAGGGGGAAACACCGGAGCAAGUUACCGAAUGUUACUAGUUACUACUUACUAUUUCCUCCGUUUCACAAUGUAAGUCAUUCUAGCAUUUCUCACAUUCGUAUUGAUGUUAAUGAAUCUAGACACGAAUGUGAAAAAUACUAGAAUGACUUACAUUGUGAAACGGAGGGAGUACUCGUGUAUUACUUUCGUCCACAAAUAUUUUUUUAGCUACAUACAUUCACAAAGUAACGAGAGCUACAUUAGGUUUCAUGUGGUGAAACCUAUUCAUCUAAGUUAAAGUUCUAAAUUUAAUAUAGACAAGAAAAAACUACCCAUACGUUACAAUAAGUGAAGGCUAUUUUAAUAUAUUAUUGUUAGAAUUUUUGUCUAAAAAAUAUAUGGGAUUUUUAUUUUGAUAGUAUUGAUAUCUAAUUUGGAACCCUUAUUAAGAUGAUGGUCAUAUCAUGUACGCCUGACGAGAAUUCUAAAGCAAUUAAGAAUCAGACUCCCAUCCUAGGUUUGCAUGUGAGUUUUUUUAAAAAAGAUUUCUUAUAUGACUCCUUAUAUAUUUUCAAAAGCGAACAAACUUAGAAACCAAGUCAAAUACGAAUAACAUGCUAAAGUAUCAGCGAAAAUAUUUUUAAUUUUUAUAAUAAUGGAGAAGAGAUAGAGAUACCAAUACCGAAAGAGAAAAUGAGGGGAAAAGAGAAGAGAUUGAAAGAAGAGGGAGAGAAUUAGGAUUAUCGGGAAAAAGAAAAAGAGAAAAGAGUAAAAAAAAAGACAGUCAAGGGAAGAGCACAUGACUUCGAGUGGAUGCACGCGGGAUGGUACGGGUCGAUUGGGUUGUGUUGGGCUAGGAGAGGGAUGGGUGGGAUUAGGCUGGGGAGGAGGUGUACAGUACUCCAUCCAUCUACUUUUGAUAGGUAUAUUUCCAAAUCUGAAAAAUUUACUUUUGAAAUGCAUAUUUUAAUCCAACCACCUAUCAUCUUAAUGACUUUCUCGGAUUUAAUGCGUGACUUUCCAUUCUUUCACAUAAGACUGGUUACAUGGGCAUCAAGAAAUAUAAAUAUUAAUGAAUCGAUUGUUUACGAUGAAUAACUAGUAACAUGUUUAAAUGGAUGAUAAGUAGAAUUACUUAUCCUUGGUCAUUGUGUGAAAUAUGACUAUAAAAAGUAGAUGGAUGGAGUAGUUAUUUUAGGCUCGAGCUGAACUGGAUGCGGACGACGUACAACCUAGACACCGAUAACGAAAUAAAAUUCCGACAAAAACAUCUUCAAAUUUUAUAAUAGUAGAUAUAUGAUAUGCUCUCAUUUACACAUAAACUUUUAAGUAAUUUUAAGUUUAGAUAACAUAUCUGUUAAUAUCUGUUAACAGUGAGGUGUUUAUGGUAAUUUCGUCAAAUUUAAAAUAUAUCCAUUUAGUUUCUUACAAGUGCUAAUAAUGUGUCCCUGUAUUCACAGGGGAUUAGUAUGCACACAUGUAUAUGAAUUUGAAUAUCUAUUGUAUUGUGCUUGUAUGAGAAAAAGACGCAUGGUCGUGUCGCUUGUAUGAGUAUACGUCUUUUACCCUUUCCACGCGCGGAGCUUCGCUAGCUGUAUUCCGGCUGUACAACGUUGGACGCACGGCCAGGGGAAGAAGAGUGUAGAACACGCGGUGCAUGCGAUGCGAUGCGAUGAGCUCACUCGAACCGCGACCGAUCGAAACGACCGCGCGCAUGACGAUGACGUGCACGCACGUAGCAAUCAGUCAAACACAGCCACCAAAAAAAAUCACAGCAUAAUCCAAAAUUCGUCUUGCUUAAUUUAUGCCUCUACUUUGCAUUACUUUACAGCCUGUGAAAGUGAGAACGAAUGUUUUUGUCACCUGCAUGCCGCUGAUAUUUGACGCGGCCAAAACACACCCGUCUGCCAAAAUAAAACCACACGUUUUUCCCUCUACGAAAUACUACAACCGUCCAAAAAUACUCAACUUAAAAGAGGAUGUAACCUCUUCUGAUACAAUGUAUUUAGACAAAAAGCUAUCCAGAUUCAUUAUACUAAGAGCAAGUUUAAUAGUAUAGCCAACUAAUAGCUCCAAUUUAUCUAUAGCUAAUCUAGUAGCUCAUUUAUACAAUAGUUACGUACUACACUAUUAAUACCUGGUCUCACCUGUCAUACACAUAUUGCGUCUCGAAGUCCGUGCUAUAGCUGGCUACAAAUGUAUAGCCCGCUGCUCUUCUCUCUCCUUAUUUAUCUUAUUAAAAUAUGUUUGCAGCUGGUUUAUAAUCUGCUAUUGUACCUGCUUAAAAGACGUGGUUGAGUUUUUUUAAGAACGAAAAGAGUACUAAUCAGGAAAUUUGAAUUUGGUUGUGACAAGAAAAGGAUCUUGUUAUCAAGGGUAGACGUCAUGAGAUUGAGAAGGAUCACGACAUGUAAACUCCAUGUCAGUGACUCGGUCGCAAUUUCGCAGUGCUUAGGUGGUCUUUGAAUUUAGGGAUUUAACUUUAGUUUUUUAUUUAGACACUAAUUUAGAGUAUUAAAUAUAGACUAUUUAGAGAACUAAUUACAUAAAUGAAAGCUAAUUUGGGAGACAAAUUUUUUAAGUCUAAUUAAUUCAUAAUUAGAGAAUGUUUUACUGUAGCAUUAUAUUCUAAUCAUGGAUUAAUUAGGCUUAAUAGAUUCGUCUCGCGAAUUAGUCCAAAAUUAUGGAUGGGUUUUAUUAAUAGUCUAUGUUAAUAUUUAUAAUUAGUGUCCAAACAUUUGAUGUGAUAGGAACUUAAAAGUUUAUAGUCCCAUCUAAACAGGGUUAGACUAUAGAUUUUGCAGGGGGCCAGUGCUGGAUACAACGGAGGAAACAAACAAAGGGAAGAGAUGGCAGGAGGUAGUAGUAGCAAGGAUCCUCUGUAACAACCAUAUCUACAACGAUCGUUGCAGAUUCGACUAUAAUUUGACUGGCCCCAGCAGGCAAUGGAUGCUCCGAGUGGAGGAGCAGGGAGUUGCAAUCAUGACUAAGAGAAAGCUAAUAGGAUUUGUCAAGUUUGAAGAUUUUCGAAAGAGAUGUCAAGUAUAUAUGAAAGGCAAUACUGCAAAAAUCUAAAAAUGUGCCAAAUUAAGGUGGUACAUUCUCUCAUACAAUUUAUGCAAUAUCUGAUCAAAUAAAGCUCGAACUCUAAGUAGCCGAUGUAUUAGAAGAUUGGAACCCUUGAUGGAUUUCCCUUUCGAUAUAAUUUGGUUAACAGAAUUUAGGUCGAAUGUCCAUAAUCUCCUAACCUUAGAGCAUCUGUAGUGUGAACAAAAAAUCGAUUUUACGACAGGAGAACCAAAUCAUGCACAUUGUAGCUGUCGAACCGUAGGUGUCAAACAACAAAUCGAACUCCACAUUGGAGUCGAACUGAAAGAGUAAAUUAAUAUACUGUGCAUGCAUGCAGGUACGGUUCCAGUGAUUGGCUCAUUCCCUUUUUACAGAUCCCACAAAACAAUUUUAACAUUAUAGCUAUCAAACUGAAAUUUUGUUUGGCUCUUCUAUUAGAUUGAUCAAACCAAACACUACAGAUGCCCCCAGUGCCUUUGCCAACUGUUAGAUAAGUGUAGAAUUUUGCUUUCACUUUUGAAAUGGAAGUACACUAAUAUAUUUGGGAAAUACAAAGCAUAACUUUUAAAAAGGCCAAAUGCGUUUUACACUAAACUUAGCUGGUGCUCUGCUCCGCUCACAGAAGGUGGGUACGCAGAAGAUCAUUGCGGCAGGGAAGUAGUAGUAGGUCAUGGUCAACCUUAACCAUACCCUACCAUGACAGCAGCAGCCCAGGCCCAUCAAUCGCCCACAGCCCCUGCAGGCCCGGGCCCACUCGAGCAGAGGGGCACUGUGAAAAAGGCCCAGUCGGCCCCACCACGUCAUGGGGCGCCAUGCACGCACCGGUCAGACGACGCGGUUGUCGGCCUGGCCGGGGUGCCCAGCCACGUGGGCAGCCCGCGCGCUACCGACAGCGGCCGUGACCCGCGGGGCCCGGCGGCGCGCGCUCUCGCGCGCGCGCGACGUCGUCGAGACCGCGACGCCGACCGAUGGCGAGCGCGCCCGCGCCCCCGCCCCGCGCGCGCGCCGCGCCAGCCACCAUGCGACGACGUCGUACACGCACAGCGCGCCGCGGGCGCGAGCGCGCGCGCUCUGCAGCGUCGCCGCCGCCGAACGCCAUGCCGAUCGAUGCCGCCGGGCGCGCACGCGCGCGCGCGUCACCAUUGUGAUCAUGGCGCGCGCGACGUGACGGCGACACAAGCCAAUCCAUCGCUAGCGACUCGCUUAGUACUAUUAAUUACUCCACUAACUAGCGGCAUGUACAAGAAGCGGUAGGAGAAAUAUCGUGUUUCUGUCUAAUCUUUUCUGUGGUUGUACGCUUGUUUAAUCCUCCUUUUCGUAGGAGUUAAUGACGAUAGGGCUCGAUCAGAGAAUAAAAAUUGGGUUGGUGCGCUGAUCACUUUCGCGGCGAGUGUUGCUGACUUGCAGCAACGCGCGCCACUUGCCGCCGUUCGGUUGGCCUCCGCGGCGGGGGAUGAUAAUAAUGGAUAAUGCUUUAUGCGAGAUACGGCUCUGUUGGUUUUGCAUUUCUUUUUCGUUAGGGUGGUGAGUGCACCGGAGCCAAUAAACAGGUUUAGGUGGAGGACUCGUGUUUUUUUUUAAAGCUCAGCCAUACGCCCAUACGAUAAUUAUUUCAUUUGUUCUUUUAGAUGUGCCUACUAGUUCGUGCUAGU